CUGUAGCUCAUAACUCUUUGGUGGAGCACAUGCUCUGCAUGCAGAAGUUCAAUUCCAUAUGGCAGUGAUGGCGAACCUUUUAGAGACCGGGUGCCCAAACUGCAACCCCAAACACACUUAUUUAUCGCAAAGUGCCAACACGGCAAUUUAACCUGAAUACUGAGGUUUUAGUUUAGAAGGGAAGAGUGGCGCAUCUGUGUGGAGAGAGAGUGGAGCAUACAGUGGUGCCUCAGUUUUCGAACAGCUUAGUUCUCAAACUCAAACUACUUGGAACCCGAACACUUCAAACCCGGAAAUGAGUGUUCUGGUUUUCAAACCUUUUUCGGAAGCGGAACAUGCUCUGUUCUGAGUAUAACUUCCACUCUGAGUGCCACACUUCUGUUAUGAGAGUGAGGGAAGGCGGGCUGGGCGGCAAGCAAGUAGGCCUCUGCCACCCUCCAGCGCUGGGUCCCUCCGCCACCGCCGCCACAACAUCAACUACCCCCUCCAACUCCUGCAGCCCCGGUGCUGAGGGAAGGCUGGACCGGGGCGGCAAGCGAGCAGACAAGGGAUGUUGGUGCCACACCCCCUCCAGCCUGCUCCUGCUUGCAGGCAAGUGCAAGUGGGAUCAGGCUGCUCUGCUAAGGAGCGUUGCUGCUUGCACGGGAACAGGAGCUGGAUCGGGGCUGCUCAGCUGGGGAGGUGCAGGCUCCAUCACACUUUCCAUUGAGGGGUUUGUGGCUGCACUCCCCUCAAGGGAGUCGUCUAACGAGCUCCCACCUCCGCAUCAGAUCCUCUGCAACCUGAAGGCAGCCAGGCUAAUAGUUGCUGAGGUUGGGGAAGGUGGAGGCAGCCCAAAAGCUGCAUCUGAGAGCCCCAGCACUACCUGAAGGCAGCAAAGUGCUCCUAAGCUGAAACUGCCACCCCCCUCGCAUGGGGUUCAAUGGGUUCGCCACCACUGGUAUAGCCUUUCUUUGGGCAUGGUUCUGAAAGAAAUUAAAGUGUGAGGUUUAAAUUAUAUGAAUAUGAAUGCUAAAUAAAUGCAUAUUGAGAAAUUACAAUGCUCUAUUUUGCAUACAAUAUAUUGUUACGUCCUUGCCAACACGUUACAGAAAGCAAAUGUCAGAAAAAAACCACAUGAAGGCAAAAGAGCAGAAAUCAAGUGUGUUUGGUUACAUAAAUUCCAACCUUUGAAAAAGCAACAGAUAUGAUCCCCUCUUUAAAAAUAGCAAUUACUGGGGACAAGGAAGGGCAGAAAAAGCCACCUCCACAAAGAUAGGCAGAAAUGGACCCCAACCGAAAUAUACGGGUACCAGCCAUUCAACAAGAACAAUUUUGACACUUCAGUCUCAGCACUAUAUGAACUUGAAAUAGUUCUGCCUGAAUGUUUGGUAGUGAAAAUGAGGGCUAAGAUUUGGGAGAAAACAACAGUCAUCUUUAGAAAUGUUUCCUUUGUUGCAGGGCUGAAUGAUUACAGGUUCAUUUAUGAGAAAAUUCCCAAUUUAUUUUCCAGUGAUUUACUACAGAGAAAAUCAAAGUUGUUUGUAAAUGCUAAAGCAAGGCCACAUUUUUCCAAGUGAAUAUUUCAUAUACAAACGAAUUUUUAAAAAGAUGAGAAAAGGCUACAAUACUAUUUGAGGUGUUCUUUGUCCAUUAAACUACAGAUACAGCAUUUGUUGGGUUUCAUAACUCCUCUUCAAAGUGGAUAACGCUUAAUUUUCACAUUCUUUGGGUGCAGGAGCUUUUGCCAAGGGAUUUCUUAAGUGCUAUUUGAACAUCUUUGUUUCUCAGGCUGUACACCAAGGGGUUCAACAAGGGAGUCACCAUUGUGUAAGAGACAGAAAUAAAAGUAGUCUCAUCUAGCGUGUAACUAGAUUUGGGCCUUAAAUAGAUAAUGGAAGCACAACCAAAGUGCACUACGACCACGAUAAGAUGGGAGGCACAAGUGGAAAAGGCUUUACGCUUCCCAGCCGUUGUGGGGAUUUUCAAGACAGUGUUUGCAAUUAAAAUGUACGAGAGAAGGAUGAACAGGAAUGAACAAAUUACAACCAAAAAAGAAAUAAGGGUAAUGACAAUUUCCCCGAUGUAGUUUCGGCCACAGGCUAAUUCAAGCAAAGGUGAUAAAUCACAAAAGAAGUGCUUAAGUUUAUUUGGUCCACAGAAAGGCAAGGUAAAUAUGAUUAUAGUCUCUGAGGUGGAAAAAAGAAAUCCAGUUGUUGCUGAACAAGCCACCAGUUUGGUGCAGAGUCUUUGAUUCAUCAGAAUCUGAUAACGUAAAGGUUUGCAUAUGGAGACAUAUCGGUCAUACCCCAUCACUGCUAGAAGCAUACAAUUUGUACACCCAAAGCCCAGGAACAGGAACAUCUGAGUAACACAGCCAAUGAAGGAAAUGGUCUUCUUUUCUCUUAGAAGAUUUGCAAGCAUAUUGGGGAUAAUGACAAGUGAGUAGCAGAUUUCUGAGAAUGAGAGGAUGGAGAGGAAGAAGUACAUGGGGAUGUGGAGGCUGCGGUUAAGCCGUAUCGUAGUGAUGAUGAUUAUAUUUCCCAUCAAAGUUACCAGGUACAUAAGAGAGAACACCAGAAACAACAUAACCUGCAGGUCUGGGAAAUUCGAAAACCCAACAAGGAUAAAUUCUGUCACUAUUGUUUGAUUUUUUCUUCCCAUUGAUGUAGAAUCUGAAAAUGAACUUUAAAGAUGUUACAGAUUGCAACAGUGCUCGUCAGCUGAUGUUUAAUACAAAAAUACUGGGGCAGAGGCUUGUUCAUAAAAUGAUUAUUUAUUUUUUGUUCUUUAUUAAAUUUAUGUACUGCCCUUCAGCUGACUAUCACAGGCCACUUUACAACAUAGAAACACAAAAUGCAUAAUGUGACCGUAAAAAUGCAAUAGCAAUAACAAACCAUUUGAUGUGCCUUAAACAUCACUCCAUACAGCUGCCUGAGAAAAGGCCGCCUCCAUUUGCCCAAUGGUAGAACCGGCCUCAGUAGACCGAACCUAGCACAACAGUUGUGCAACCAGCAAAAUAAUUGUGUCACCCCUUAGACCUUUUAUGACAUUCACUUUACUAACACGUCUACACUGCAGAGUUGAAUGUCUGAUAUCUCCCUUUCGAGGAAUCCUGGGAAUGUCUGCUCCCAACUUAGUGAGGCAAUAGAGCCAGUUUACAAAACUGUAUUUUCCAUCGAACUAAAAUUUUAGCAAUCAAACAACAUCUUGGCAUAGCUCAUCACCAUAGAUUACAAUUCUGUAUUCUUAUAAUUGAUGGAAUUCCACUGUGAAUGAAUGUCUGGCUACAGCCCACAAACUGAUGAAGGAGCACAGAGGCAAGUGAGCUGAAGAGUUUAAGGCUUCACAAUAUUCCUGUCAAUUGAAAAAUUAACAGCAUCACAAGGCAUAACUCUGAACACCACUAGAAUAUUUUAUUGAGGAGCAUGCCUAUCUUAACCUGCCUUUUAAACAGUCAUGCAGUCAGUGUCUAUUCCAAAUUGUAGCACCUCUGCAGCGUCUCAGGUUGCAGUCUUCACAAGUCCUGCUAAGCUACCUCAUACUCCUUCAGGAAAAUAUUGGAUCUGGAGCGUUGUGCAAGAAAAACAGUAACUCUGCCAUUGAGUAUGAAUCUUGUGGCCAAGAUAAAAAAGAGUCAGGUGCUUUGAAAUUUUUCUUAUUUACCUUUAAAGUGGUAUAGACAAGAGCAUGGGUAGGCAGACUAAGGCCCAGGGGCCAGAUCCAGCCCAAUUGCCUUCUAAAUCUGGCCCUUAGACAGUCUGGGAAUCAGCAUCUUUUUACAGGAGCAGAAUGUAUGCUUUUAUUUAAAAUGCAUCUCUGGAUUAUAUGUGCGGCAUAGGAAUUCGUUCAUCCCCUCCCCCCCAAAAAAUAUAGUCCGGCCCACCACAAGGUCUGAUGGACAGUGGACUGACCCCCUGCUGAAAAUGAUUGCUGAUCCCUGGACAAGAGCAUCUGAAGGGCUGAAUGAAAGAAUUCAAAUCAAAGCUUCAGAACCUCAAACAACAAUAGACUUACAAGGAAGCACGAUGGAUGUUGAGCUCUUCCAAAUGACAGCAGUUUGCCACAAUAUCCCUUUUAUGAUGUUUCUACUGAGCAUGGAACAAUGUAAACAUGAUUAUAAAUCCCACCAGAUAUUAUCUCCACGGUAUUUCAAAACAUAAAAUAAACCAACCAUUUUAUUAUCAAUGGGAGUUGUUAAAAUCUACAAGAAAUUAUUAACAAUACAUGUAAUUUUAUUGGGUGCAUUUUUUCCUAAAAAUCUUUACUUCAUCUCUAUAUCGCUACAUUUUAUUAUGCCUACUUGUUUUCCAUUUUAUCUUUUAUCAUGAUGCAUAUUACAGAUUGUUUCGGUCUUUCUGAUUAAGUGGUUUGUGAAUAUUGUUUAAUAGAUGAAAAUAGCGUACAGGACAAAUGGCUCUGGGGUAAGCCACACCCAUCGUCAAAAAGGCAGGGAAAGUUCCAUCUCAUGAAAUCUAACAUCUCACAAGGGUACUGAAGACAUCAGGGUUCAAGGAGAUGAGCGUAAACUGACUAUUUUCACAGAUUAUAUAUUACUGAUGCUCCACAAUCCAAGCUAAGCCCCUUUUCCUUUGCAGAGGGUACUAAAUAAUUUCAUGGCAGUAUCUGCAUUCUCAAUGACUUCUGGACCCAGGUGUUCAAUCUAAUUCCAAUUAUUGUGGGUCAACCCUUGGCAAUGGAUCCAGAUUUGGCAUUACUUUCUCUAGAAAGCAAUACAACCCAACCAUUGACCACUAUCCUCUUGUAUUUAUGUUCUAAGCAGCAGCUAAAAUCUCCAUUGCUAGUCACUGGAAAUCCAGAUCCCCAUCCCGUGAUCAUUGGUUAAGGAAAGUUAUGGGACAUUGCGCUUUCUGAACAUCUAACAUGUCAGAGAGGGCUUAGCGGCAGGGAGACGAAAACAGGCUGUUUCUAUUCCAUUUGGUAGCUCUUUCUAUCCUUUGGCAAUGCUGAGCCAAACAAGCAUCAACUGUCCCAUAGCCCAAAUAAACAUAUGGAGAAGUUUUGUCACUCACAGUUGAUAUUAUAUGGUAAACAACUGUCUUGGGCAUCUACGUUUUGAGCAGCAUUGCAUGAAUGGUUCUUUUUUCCCAUUGUUGUUGUUGGAACCAUAGAAUCUUAGAGUUGAAAAGGACCCAAGGGUCACCGUUGGCUGUGGUGAGGAGUGCAAGGCCUGCUCCCUUACAAAGCCUUUACCAGCUGGCCUAGGGGGCAAGGCCCAGGCCCUCACACUUCCAGCUAUAGACUCCUCUGGCAGAAACUGCCUUCUUGGCUAUUGAAGCCACUAUUGGUCUCAUCAGCUCAAUCCACCAGAGCCUGUCUUCGCGUACAGGGGAAGUCCUCCUUGACACACAAAGACACAAACACACACACCAAUUAAUCCAGUAACUUCUUUCAAUACUGCCUGCCAUUCCCAUUCUCCCCAGAUAACAACUUGCUUGCUCUGCUCAGACUGAAGUGAGGAAAAGGUGCUGAAGAAUGGACACCAUUCAGACCAUACCCUCCCAACCACACCACACAGUAGAGUUGCAGCCAACCCUCUUCCACACUACUGAAUCAGGUUGGACCUUUCUUCAGAUAUUUCAUAUUUUUGAGAGAAGGAAAAUCAGCCUGGCAGCUACAUUGUUCUGGAAUACUAACUGAAGGACAAAGCCACUUCCGACCUCAGGAGGAGGUGGUGGUGCGCGCUUCACGCCCCCAACACGCGUGCGAAGGCUGGCUUCCAGCCCCGCGCGAUCAGGGGAAUCCUUGGGCUGCGUCAUCCCAUGGCCAGCCAAUUGGCUGGCUCAGGGGGUGUGGCUUGCCUCAUUUAAGGCAAGCACAGCCCGGGAUCCCCCUCCCGCCCCAACUUCUUUGGUUUUGGCGGUUAGGCAUUGGUAGGGGUAUUGUUAUGUAGAUGUGUUGCGGGGGGGGGGGGAGCGCCAUCACCUCCCCCAAAUUUUGAAGGGUAGUCCGGUAAAGUAUUCCGGGGAGUGUGGCCUCGUCUGAAGCCUAUGGAGGUCAGGGCCUAAAGCGCCCCCCCGAGCGGUGAUCCCGGGGGAGUCCCUAGUUGAUGUGCAUCAGCAGGGCUCCCCCACUGGUGUUAACCCUUCCCGGUCUUCAAGCAAACAGGCUGAAGCCGGAUAGUCAGAUAGGACCAAUGCCUAAGCCAAUACCGCUCUUUACCUGUAACCAAUAAAGUUGUGCCCUAUUUUAGCCCAUUAACCUAAAUAUUUGUGUCACGUGUCGUUAUUCCUACUGGUGGGAGGCGGGAAAUCACCACGGAACAACCUCAUGUGGUCCAGUGCAAGAAAAUCAGGGGGUGAGGGGACCACUCAGACAUGAUAGCACUGCAAAUUACUUAUCCAUUUUAUAUAUAUAUAUAUAUAUAUAUAUAUAUGAAUGCUAAAAUAAAUGCAUAUUGAAAAAUAGCAAUACUCCAUUUUGUGUACAAUAUAUUAUUACAUUCUUGCCAACACUGUACAAAAAGCAAAUGUCAGAACAAAUCACAUGAAAGCAAAAGAGCAGAAAUUAAGUGUGUUUGGUUACAAGAAUUCCAACAUUGAAAAAGCAGACUCCAAAUGUUUUGUGUCACUGGGAUGGCGGGAAUUCUGUAUUGAUUAGCUAUGAAUGUUUGUAUGUGAUGUCAGUAAAAGGUUUGAUGAUGAUGAAAAAGCAGAUUGCCUCCUUAAAAAAUACCAUCACAGGGGACAAGGAAGGGCAGAAAAAGCCACAUCCACAAAGAUAAACAGAUACGUACCCCAAACUGACCCCAAAAGAAAUAUACAGGUACCAGCCAGGGACCUGGGCAGGGGGAGAAUUCAUGCCGCUGCCCAGGAGAAGCUGCGCGCUGCUAUCCCAUAAGCCAGGACAGCAAGCUGUGAUCCCACUUGCUGUCCUGGCUUCUGGGAUUCGGAAUAUUUUUUUUCUUGUUUUCCUCCUCCAAAACUAGGUGCGUCUUAUGGUCUGGUGUGUCUUAUAGAGCGAAAAAUACAGUACUUAAUUCGUUCCGGAGGUCGGUUCUUAACCUGAAACUGUUCUUAUCCUGAAGCACCACUUUAGCAAAUAGGGCUGCCGCGCAGCUGCCACGCGAUUCAGUCCUCAUCCUGAAGCAAAGUUCUUAACCCGGGGUACUAUUUCUGGAUCAGCGGAGUCUGUAACCUGAAGCGUCUGUAACCUGAAGCGUAUGUAACCCGAGGUACCACUGUAUACGGGUACCAGCCAUUCAACAAGAACAAUUUUGAAACUUCAGUCUCAGCACUAUAUGAGCUUGAAAUAGUUCUGCGUGAAUGAUUGGUAGAGAAAAUGUGGGCAAGGAUUUGGGAGAAAACAACAAUAAUCUUUAGAAAAGUUUCCUUUGUUGCAGGGCUGAAUGAUUACAGGUUCAUUUAUGAGAAAAUUCCCACAACCCAAUUUAUUUUCCAGUGAUUUACUAAAGAGAAAAUCAAAGUUGUUUGUAAAUGCUAAAGCAAGGC
rnacentral:lncRNA from 1 species